CGGAGAAGAGCCACCCGCCACCGAUAGAGCAAAGACCUGCGACCCAGCUAGCAAGCUCGUUGCUCAGUAGUAGUAGUAGUAGUUUUCAUCCUGCAAUAAGAGCCACCAUAUCCAGAGCAUUGUAAGGGUCAAGAAGGUAAUUAGAAGAAAUGAAGAAAGGAUUAUUCGCCAACAAGGAUGAAUAUCUCUACUUUGGAGAAGAAAAUAGGCUGAAAAUGUUUCAGCCAAAUACAUUCAAUUUCAAGCCAAAAACCCAUAUCAUGCUUGAUGAAGCUCAAAGAUGCAUAUUGGAUAAUUUCUGGUUCCAAUAUACUCUCAAGAGAGAGGAAAAAGGAUAUUUUUUUUUAUCAAUUCUCAAUAAUUUGGCAGACUAUUUUAAUGAAUUAAACGAAAAUUUGCCAAAGCCAGAAAAGAUUGAAAUACCAAAAGGAGAAACACUAUAUCUUAUAUUUGAUGGAAAUAAACCUGGUAUAUAUUUGGAAUGGGAAAAUAUAAUGAUUGAAAAAUUAUAAGCAAAAAGAAAAGGACAAGAUUUAACAUUCAAAAGAUAUUAUAAUAUAGAUGAUGCCUUACUUUGGGCAAGAAAGGUAUUAGGACCAGCUUAUUAUAUUGACCCAAAGGCUAAAGACUAUAUCCAAAUGAAAAGAGGCAUACCUGCUUCACGAACUCCCACAAAGGGGGAGGCAUGAAGCUCAAAAAUAUAAAGAAGGAAGAGUCUCCAAAAUAUAAGACAUAUCAAGAAUGCCUUCUAAAGGGGCUUGACCCUUUAGACAGUGAAUACAUAGAUCAAGAAAUGGACAAAAGAUUUGAAGAAUUUACAAAAAUAAUAAAGAAAGAAUUGAAAGAAGAAAUAUUAAAAGAAUUAAGGCAUGAAAUGGACGAAAAAUUUGAAGAAAUAAAGAAAGAAUGCGAUCAAAAAUAUGAUUUCAAUCUGUUAAAUGAUGAUGAUGAUCAUAUGGACAUAGCAGGGCACGGGCAGCGACCUGAAUAAAGCCCAAAUUGCCUAUAUUGAUAUUGCUAUCAAUUAUUCGUGCGCGGAGGACCCGAAUAUUGAUAGAAAGUCCAAGAAAAGAUAUUUUAAAUACUGAUAAGGUAUUAUCAAUCAUAUGGGCAGGGAAGACCCCCUGUAAAAAAUGAAUAAGCAAUGCCGAAUAUUUAAGCAAGUUAAAUUAAAUUAAAAAUAAAUGAAUAAGCAAUGUUGAAAAUUUAAACAGCCUUGGCAUGUAUGUACGCAUACACUUGGACAAGGAUUCUUGAAGGCAGAAGAAGCUCUGAAGGCUAAUCGCAUGAAGACCUGUAUGGCCCAAGAGCAAAGACCGGUACACAGAGGCCAGCCAAUUAUCCAUGAGAGACAAUGCCGACGUGAACAAAGCAAAGAUUUGACAGAUUCCUGAAGAUUGAAGUUUGUCGGGGCUCUAUCUCUCGCUCUUAUCCAUCGCCUAGAGGGACACACAUGCAUCCCUACUACAUAUAAAAUAAGACGUGCAUUCUCCCGGAAGCCAUCCAUAGAGCUGCUCUCUUGCCUAUAAAAGGAGACAUUUGCUGCGAAGAGAGACACAACACUAGACGGAGAAGAGCCACCAGCCAGCGAUAGAGCAAAGAGCUGCGACCCAGCUAGCAAGCUCGUUGCUCAGUAGUAGUAGUAGUUUUCAUCCUGCAAUAAGUGCCACCAUAUCCAGAGCAUUGUAAGGCUCAAGAAGGUAGUUAGAAGCCUUGGCAUGUAUGUACGCAUACAAUGGCACAAGGAUUUUUGAAGGCAGAAGAAGCUCUGAAGGCUAAUCGCAUGAAGACCUGUAUGGCCGAAGAGCAAAGACUGGUACACAGAGGCCAGCCAAUUAUCCACGGAGAGACAAUGUGUAACACCCAUGA